rnacentral:rRNA from 1 species
AUUGAACGCUGGCGGCAUGCUUUACACAUGCAAGUCGAACGGUAACAGGCCGCAAGGUGCUGACGAGUGGCGAACGGGUGAGUAAUGCAUCGGAACGUGCCCAGUCGUGGGGGAUAACGCAGCGAAAGCUGCGCUAAUACCGCAUACGAUCUAUGGAUGAAAGCGGGGGACCGUAAGGCCUCGCGCGAUUGGAGCGGCCGAUGUCAGAUUAGGUAGUUGGUGGGGUAAAGGCUCACCAAGCCGACGAUCUGUAGCUGGUCUGAGAGGACGACCAGCCACACUGGGACUGAGACACGGCCCAGACUCCUAGGGGAGGCAGCAGUGGGGAAUUUUGGACAAUGGGCGCAAGCCUGAUCCAGCAAUGCCGCGUGCAGGAAGAAGGCCUUCGGGUUGUAAACUGCUUUUGUACGGAACGAAAAGGCUCUGGUUAAUACCUGGGGCUCAUGACGGUACCGUAAGAAUAAGCACCGGCUAACUACGUGCCAGCCGCCGCAGUAAGAC